rnacentral:rRNA from 1 species
GACGUAGGGCGCGAGCGUUGUCCGGAUUUAUUGGGCGUAAAGAGCUCGUAGGCGGCUUGUCGCGUCGACUGUGAAAACUUGGGGCUCAACCCCAAGCUUGCAGUCGAUACGGGCAGGCUAGAGUUCGGUAGGGGAGACUGGAAUUCCUGGUGUAGCGGUGAAAUGCGCAGAUAUCAGGAGGAACACCGGUGGCGAAGGCGGCUACCUGGACAGAAACUGACGCUGAGGCGCGAAAGCUAGGGGAGCAAACAGG